AAAUAUAAUAAUCUUAGAGUAUUUACUUAUGCUUUCGUGAGUGAAUAUAUUUCAUAAGCGUAAGAAUUCAAUAUACUCUUUGAUAGUGUACUUUUCCAUAUGGAUGCCAGAUUUUAUUUCUGAUGCUGUAUAAUUAACCUGCUUGCUAAACCAAAUACAGUAAAGUUACUUUCAACAAACAUGCUAUUAGGGUCAAAGUAUUGCAAAGAAGAAAAUAAGCAAUGUUCCUGAGAUUGGUAGAUGUCAACAAUGCAAAUUUGAAACAUAGAUGUGCCAUUUUUAGUCAUUAUCUAAAUUCAAGCAGAAUUUAUUGAAUGGUGUAUAGAGACCUAUACUAAUGUGCUGACAUUUAUCAGCAAUUUAAAACAUUGCAUGAAAAAAUAAGAAUAUUUCAGAACUAAUGAAACUGUCAUUCUUUUUUUGAAAUUCAGGGAUGCAGACACCCUAAAAUGUGAUACGUAUUACAAAAUCCUAAAGUAGACAAGCUGUUUGAUCUUUAGACACAAAAUUUGAUCUGAAAGCAUUUAAGUGUCUCUAGAAUUAGUUAUCAAUAAAACAAUGAAAACAUUAAGAACUGCGUUACACAACUGACAUGAAUUUAAAAACGUGAUUUACUUGAAGGCUAAUGCUUCAGUGAGAUUUACAAAGAAAGCAUGGAAGUUGAGACUUAAAAUUUACCCAAAUUGUGAUGACUUGAACACAUUUAUGAAAACUUUUGCUUAGGUACCAUAUAAAUAAAUAGUGUGUCUACAAGUAUAAUGUUUACAUUAAGAGACAUAAAAUACAUUCUUUUGUUACAAGAGAAAAAACUUGACAGUUUAAUAUAGUGGUGGUGUGGAGUUGACAGAUUCAAGAUGCAGCUAGGCCUCCUCAUUUUUUAAAACUUUUUCUUUUGUUUAAAGAAAAAAAAUAGGAGACUUUGCCUGUCAACUAUCUGUGUUAACUUGACCUGCAUCAUUGUUUAGCCCUGAAGUACCCCAUCUAGGGUAUCCACUGAACAAAUACGGGCUUCAUAUCUUAAUGAUAUCUUUCAUGAAGUCUUGUUUGUGAGUCACCUUGCUAAUUAGCAAGGCGAUGUUGGAACCUGUGGCCACGUCAUCUAAUACUAGAUGAGGGAGGUAAUCCUGAAGGCAGGUGAAAUAUAAGAGAAACUUCAUCUGAACUGUGUUGCAGCACAGAGGGGUCAACCUGGUAAAGCUAUUUUCUCCCAGCCAUUAGUCUCCAAAUCCCAGCUGAAGCACGACAGGUUGAACUGGAGAAGAGAUUAUGGCAUAAAGAUUAGUUUGAAGAUAAUUGUGAGGACACUGCCCAGUGCUAUGACUCCAGCUGAGUAAAGAUAAAAGUGGUCAACACUCAGAGAGAAAGGAGGGAGGGAGAGCAAAGAGGUCAAGGGAUGGAAGGAAGCAGAGUGAAUGCCACCAUGUGCCAGUGAUGAGAAUGUGAAUACUAAUAGAGGGCAAUAAAUCAAAAUCCAAGAAGAACCAAACAAAUGUAACAUCUUGACUCAUAGUAAUGGGACAUUUUACUCUUCUUUGUGAAGCCUGGGCUCGUACAAGCACAGAGAAUACUUUUUCCCAGAAUAAAAGUAUUUUUCACCCUAUCUUCCAUUCUCCUUAUGUCUUCUGCCUAGAUGGCCCUUCAUUUUACUUCACCUGGGAAAAUCUGACUUAUAUUUCAAUUCACAGCCUGUAUUGUUUUCUGAACAUUUCCGUGAUCCCUUUCCACAAUUUAAAUACUUCCUACUCUCUGAUCCCAUAGCACUUUUAUUAUGAGCUUGCAUUUGGCAGUUGUCACAUUGUAACCUGGUUCUUUCCAACAAUGACUUAUGUAUAUUGGUAUUUCCUAUACCAGGUGUCAUGUGAAGCACUGAGGGCAGAGAUGAAUUAGAUCCUGUCCUCAAGGAGCUCACAGUCUAGAAAGGGAGAUGGGAAUGUAAACAAAGAAAUUAUACUUCGUGAUAAGUGUGGCAAUAAAAUGUAUAUAGAAAGCACAAAUUUAGUACAGACAAGGUGGUUAGCCUAACCUAGGGAUGCGAGGAUCAAGAAAGACUUGCCAGAGAAGAUGAUGUAAGGCCAUUUUGUUUUCUUUAUUUCAUUGUGAACUCUUGAGGAUAGGGGUUAUGUCUCACUCAUCUGA
ensembl:lncRNA